AACGAACGCUGGCGGCAGGCUUAACACAUGCAAGUCGAACGCCCCGCAAGGGGAGUGGCAGACGGGUGAGUAACGCGUGGGAACAUACCCUUUUCUACGGAAUAGCUCUGGGAAACUGGAAUUAAUACCGUAUACGCCCUACGGGGGAAAGAUUUAUCGGGGAAGGAUUGGCCCGCGUUGGAUUAGCUAGUUGGUGGGGUAAAGGCCUACCAAGGCGACGAUCCAUAGCUGGUCUGAGAGGAUGAUCAGCCACAUUGGGACUGAGACACGGCCCAAACUCCAAGGGAGGGAAGGGGGGGGAAAAAUUGGCAAAGGGGCGAAAGCCUGAUCCAGCCAUGCCGGGUAAGUGAUAAAGGCUUUAGGUUUUUAAAGCUCUUUCCCCGAUAAAGAAAAUGCCGGUAGGGGGAGAAGAACCCCCGGUAAACUUCG
rnacentral:rRNA from 1 species